GACGAACGCUGGCGGCGUGCUUAACACAUGCAAGUGGAGCGACGAACCAGGCUUCGGCCUGGGGCAAAGCCGCGAACGGGUGAGUAACACGUGGGUAACCUGCCCCGAAGAUCGGGACGAACCCGGGAAACCCGGGCGUAAUACCGAAUGUGCUCCCGCCCACCAUCAGUGGCAGGUGCAAAGGAAGCUUCGGCCUCCGCUUCGGGAGGGGCCCGGCGGCCCAUUAGCUUGUUGGUGAGGUAACGGCUCACCAAGGCUCCGAUGGGUAGCUGGUCUGAGAGGACGAUCAGCCACACUGGGACGUGAGACACGGCCC
rnacentral:rRNA from 1 species